rnacentral:rRNA from 1 species
UACGUAGGGGGCUAGCGUUGUCCGGAUUUAUUGGGCGUAAAGAGCGUGUAGGCGGCCAGGUAGGUCUGCUGUGAAAACUCGAGGCUCAACCUCGAGACGUCGGUGGAAACCGUUUGGCUAGAGUCCGGAAGAGGAGAGUGGAAUUCCCGGUGUAGCGGUGAAAUGCGCAGAUAUCGGGAAGAACACCCGUGGCGAAGGCGGCUCUCUGGGACGGUACUGGACGCUGAGACGCGAAAGCGUGGGGAGCGAACAGG